CAUAUGGCUCAAUGCUAAAUUUUGUCCAGCAUGAUAUCAUCUACUAUAAUGCUUCUAACUCCAGUUAAACAGGAUUAUCAAAACCAAAAAAAGACAUGUAUUAGUAAUACAGUAAUGUAUCAUUGUUUACAAUUGACUGAUUUCGUGGGAAACACCCACUGUCCUGACAUCACAAUAUGGUGUCAGAAAGAUGGAAAACAGAUCACACAUGGUCGCGUGCAUGAGUGUGUGUUAUCCAAGGUGCUAUCAUGACAUUGCUACAAACUAUAAAUAAUUUUACAAUCAAAGUAGGCUUCGAAGUACUUUAAAUGAUACUCAAACAAUACAAG
rnacentral:lncRNA from 1 species